rnacentral:rRNA from 11 species
UUAUAUAUUUGGAGAAUACCCUAAGGCACCAGAUCUCAUCUGAUCUUGAAAGCUAUGCAGGCUCUGCUCCAGUUAGUACUUGGAUGAGAGACUACCAAUGAAUCCCAGGUGCUGUAGACU